rnacentral:rRNA from 1 species
ACGUAAGGGGCAAGCGUUGCUCGGAAUUACUGGGCGUAAAGGGCGUGUAGGCGGCCCAUCAAGUCGAAUGUAAAAAACCGGUGCUCAACAUCGGGGAUGCGUUCGAAACUGACGGGCUUGGAUCUGGUGGAGGGUAAUGGAACUCCCGGUGUAGCGGUGAAAUGCGUAGAUAUCGGGAAGAACACCGAAGGCGAAGGCAAUUAUCCAUGCCGAGAUUGACGCUGAGGCGCGAAAGCGUGGGGAGCAAACAG